AUAUCCGAAAAGAAGUAGAAAAUGUUGAUCAAUGGUUUCCAGAGUCCAACAUGAUGCUUUCAAAUGUCUUGUUUUCUCCACAACCCCAAGAUAAUCAGUAUCCU